rnacentral:rRNA from 1 species
UACGGGGGGGGGUAAGCGUUGUUCGGAAUUACUGGGCGUAAAGGGCUCGUAGGCGGCCAACUAAGUCGGACGUGAAAUCCCUCAGCUUAACUGGGGAACUGCGUCCGAUACUGGAUGGCUUGGAUUUGGGAGAGGGAUGCGGAAUUCCAGGUGUAGCGGUGAAAUGCGUAGAUAUCUGGAGGAACACCGGUGGCGAAGGCGGCAUCCUGGACCAACAUUGACGCUGAGGAGCGAAAGCUAGGGGAGCAAACGGG